CUCCCGUUGAUCCCGCCGGACCCGACUGCUAUCGGAUUGAGAUUUAGCCAUGCGAGUCGAACGUCCCCCUGUUGCGGGGGGCGUGGCGUACGGCUCAGUAACACGUAGUCAACCUGCCCUGGAGACAAGGACAACCCCGGGAAACUGGGAUUAAUCCUUGAUAGGUCAUCUCAUCUGGAAGGAGAGAUGGCUUAAAGGGGUACGCGGGCUUCUUCCGCGAAUCUGCUCCAGGAUGGGACUGCGUCCGAUCAGGCUGUUGGCGGGGUAAUGGCCCACCAAACCUGUAACCGGUACGGGCCUUGAGAGAGGUGGCCCGGAGAUGGACACUGAGAGAAGGGUCCAGGUCCUACGGGGCGCAGCAGGCGCGAAACCUUCGCAAUGCGCGAAAGCGUGACGAGGUUAAUCCGAGUGACUCCCGCUGAGGGGGUCUUUUGUCAGCUGUAAAUAGGCAGGCGAAUAAGGGGAGGGCAAGCCUGGUGUCAGCCGCCGCGGUAAUACCAGCUCCUCGAGUGGUCGGGGCGAUUAUUGGGCCUAAAGCAUCCGUAGCCGGUUCCGUAGGUCCUCUGUUAAAUCCAACCGCUUAACGGUUGACCUGCAGAGGAUACCGCGGGACUAGGAGGCGGGAGAGGCGGACGGUACUCCGCAUGUAGGGGUAAAAUCCUUUGAUCCGCGGAAGACCACCAGUGGCGAAGGCGGUCCGCCAGAACGCGCUCGACGGUGAGGGAUGAAAGCUGGGGGAGCGAACCGGAUUAGAUACCCGGGUAGUCCCAGCCGUAAACGAUGCUAGCUAGAUGAUUCAUUCGCAAGUCGCGAAUGAAGUGUCGCAGGGAAGCCGUUAAGCUAGCCGCCUGGGGAGUACGGUCGCAAGACUGAAACUUAAAGGAAUGGCGGGGGAGCA
rnacentral:rRNA from 1 species